rnacentral:lncRNA from 1 species
GCGUCCAACCGCUCAACCAUCUCUAUCUUAUUUUCUACACGCGUGCUCAGCUCUUAGCAAAUUCUGGGCGUUCUUCUCUCUGUACGCGGCUGCCAGCACACACCGCCGAGUCCGCGUGGCUGCUCAGCCAGUACUGCUCACGCCAGCACAACAGUGAUCAGCCAACACUUAUCCUCAACUCCAACUCGUUCAGCCGGUUCUUCAUCCGUCGUCCACAGGCUUCAGACGUAGCUCGCCAGCUUCGACCUCCGCCCUGCCCUUGACCCCACUCGCCCGUUCUUGUUCCCGACGCUCGAGCUCACCUCAGCUUCGCUGUGCCCCUGCGUUCGGCCUCUUCCCUCCACCAGCGGACGUCCUCGGUCUCGCUUUCCUCGCCGUGGCAAGGCCCCGGCCACGACGUCAUCCCCCUGUGAGCCUCAUUGCUGUGUCGCUUGCCUGCACCCUCUUUGUUCGAUGAAAUGGUCAAGUCGAUAACUAUUGCUGUUGCUCACAGCUAAGCUAGCUGUUGAAGUCGUGCCUCGCAUACGCCUAUUCGAUGAAAUGCCCAAACGUCACGUCCGCUCCUUGUCCCAACACCCUGUCACAAUUCCGUGCGUUGCCGGUGAGACAUCGAUUUUCUUCUAUUCAAUUAGUUCUUUGCUUGGUGUCAAUGAUUAACUGUGGUUUAUGUUUGUGUACUAGUGUGUGUUUCGGAAGAGAGGAAUCCCAUAUAUGUGAGGACAGGCAAUCCGUGCAAUAGUUGUUUGAUGUUUGGUGUUAUGCGCAAAUCAGAAAUCGUCAUCAUUAUCCCAAAUAUCGAUUUGGUUUGUGAUAUGGUGAGCCCUCUCGCUACCUUGGCUAGUUAAUUUGAUCGAUGAAUUGAUUACAGUUGCCAACGAUGAUUCUUCUUGUUUUUAGCGCAAGCAUAUUGUGUGUUAUCUUUUAGACCCAUUGUUGCACUUAUAUGCGAUGUUACAUGGUGAUUGAGUUAAUUGUUCUUGUGCUCACAAACAAAAAUUUCCUAUGUGUACAGUUUUAAUUGUGCAACUAAUCUAGUAAAGCAAACUACGUUUUCUGUAAAGAUGUUUUAUAUAAAAUUAGUAGGUAACCUCCCCAUCUUUCUUGUGUUAAAUUUUCAUGACCAUAGGUUUAAUAGUUUAAGAGUUAUGAUUUUCCCAAGUCCAGUUUCAGAAUCUGUCCAGAUUCUGUACUGAUUUCGAAAAUUGCUUUGUUUGACUAAAUUAAACUUAGAAUCAGACCUUAGUAAUUACAGAAGAAUUGUAGUACUUUUCUUAAGUUUUCCAACAAAUUUUGGAAUACCCUUUUUGGUGGUCUAGAGACCAAGUUACAGCUAUUUGAACUAUAGAGUCUGAAUCUGUCCAAAUCUGGACAGCAAUGCUUGUUUGUAUGAACUGACUUUGAUACACAUUGAAUCACCCUGAGAUGUUUAUAAAUGAAUUGUCGACAAUUCUAUCAGAUUUCUAAAAAGUCUAGGAUCACCUGAUUUGGAUUUUUAAAACUUCAGUUAUGAAUUUUUGAAGUAAGUGGUCGAAUUCUGUCCAAAUCUGGACAGAAUUAAAGUUUAGCACUGUUUGACCUUUUAAACUGUCGAAUCAGGUUAUGAUGAUAAUAUAAGAGUUAUAGAGGACUUUCUAAGCUUUCCAGAAAGUCCUAGUUUACUAUUUUUGGAUGCAUAUUUUGUGAGUUAUGAAUAAAACAAUUAAUCGCUGUGCUGCUGUCUAAAAAUUCUGCAAGUAUUAAAUUGUUGGCUUGAAGUUACUAUUGUUUGGCUAAGUAAGUUUAGCUGAUUCUUAAUUGGUGAAGUGAUGCUUUGUUUUAGUAAUUAUCAUGUUCUAUGGUUGUUGAUUGAGUAAAUAUGAUAAAUGGAGAUUGGUCGCUUAAGUUAAUCAUCUUGAAUAAAUGUUCCUCACUAUUCUUAUUAGUUGGAAGUAAAUAGCAUCAAUACGUUUAUUCUAGUUGUAAUCCGAGAGCUAUAUAGUGGGAAGUGCAUUUAGGCGCUUAAAGUCUUUUGCUUCUAGGUUAUAAUCAAAUGAGAUUAUGUAAUAUUUGAUGAUGCUCCACUUGCUAGGACAAAUAGUGUGAUGUGUUAUUUAGCUCGUGCGCUAUGCUAGUUAAUCCGAUGAAAUGGUUUAAAAAGUUAGUUAAAGUAUUUCUAUUCAAAUUCGAAGCCGUAGAUGUCUAAGGCUAAUAAGUUUAAAUUAUGGUAAUCGUUUGGUGUAUGUUCUAGUUAAAGAAGAUCCAUACAUGGUUCACGAUUGUUUGGUGUUUAAGUUAGGUUCGAUUGAUUAGAAGAUCAUGCUUGUUGUGUUAGAGUUAAGGUAUCUAGUGAUUAUUUAUGCUUGCUUAUAAUGUUUUGCUAGAGAAUGUUUAAUCCUAUACCAUAUAACUUCAUAUAAUAUUGUACUAGUUCUUAUGUUCAUACAUGUGCAACCUACAUCCAAAUAGGUACACUAGCUGAAAAAUCGUGCGAAGCGAAGGGUGUGGAUCAAAACAACCCACAAGACGAUGUCGGCCGAUGAGCCCGAAGAUGGAUGGACUAAGCAGAUGUCAGAACAAAAGUUGAUCGUCAACUGGCCUUCAUUUAACAACACUAACGUAGUGUUAUCCCAGGUAAGCCCCGGUGCAUUUGCCACCUCCUUGUUGUUUUUAAAACUUUUAUCACUUAUGUGACAGAAUCUCCCAAGUAAUUAGGCCCACCUACAGUUGUCCUUGUCCAACAGACAUCAGACAACCCUGUAGAUGUUCCUGAAUCACUCGACAAGUUCGGUAUCUUCUUUCUUACCUUUCCAGGAACGUUUUACCCGUCUUGCAGACAUUACAGAACAUCGGAGAUAUAGAAAUGCGGAAGCGAUUACAUAAACUUACAUUUAUUUAGAAAGUAAGAUCAAGUUACUUAUUACAGAUAUGAAACGAGUGCUGAAUAGUAUUAUUACAAUACCAAGGGAGGCAAAAACUCCUCCCGAUAGUUUUUAUAAAGUCCUAAUGGAGGAUCCUUUCCUCCCGCACUUCAUUCCUUGCGUUCUUCCUUUGGUUAUGACUCAACCUGAUAAUUCUCUGAUCAGUGUUGAGAGUUGCUUUGUGUCUGGCUAACCAAUUCAUGCCCAAAAUAACAUCUAUAUCUUGGCCUUUCAGAACGAUCAUAUUAGUAGGAAAGUCCCGUCCGGCCAAAGUUACGGGCACUUGAUAGGCCACUUCUCUAGUAAAUAUUUGUCCCCCUGGUGAGUGAAUUUUAAACCCCUCUUUUGAUUCAUGGCAUGAGAUGCAAUGUUGCUCCACAAAUUUCUUGCUGAUGAAUGUAUGCGAAGCACCAGAAUCAAAGAGAAUAACUGCGGGAUGAUUGGCCACAAGAAACGUACCCAUCAUUACCGGCUCACCGUCCGGCGUAGUGGCCACUUGCGUAUAAUAUAUGUGUCCCGUCUUCUUAGUAUUUUUGCCCACAGUAUUUCCCUUGGCUUGAGAUGAAUUUCCAGAUCCUUGCUAAUUAUUUGACUGGUUCUGCUUUGGAUAAGGGCAAUCCUUGAUAAAAUGCCCAGACUUCCACAAUUGAAACAUCCAGUUGAUGAGCUGGGCAAAGCAGAGAAUCGAGUGCCUGGGGCACCCGGCUGACUUGAUGCAGUAGGGGCAUUAUUGGGACGAAUAAAGAUUGGCCGCUUAAAAGGGAAGGAGGGUGGACGAGAGAAAGAACAAUUCUGGUUGGAGGCCGGAUGACAACCCGUUGCUUCUUCACCGGGCCCUGACUAGGCCUGUCACCUCCAAAACCCUUGGAUUUUCCAGCACCUGCAUACUUUGCUUCUACUGCUAGUGCUGUACUGACAGCUCUUCCAUAAGUAAGAUCUAUGCAGGUUGCCAUCUUUCUUUGCAGUCGGUCAUUUAACCCUCUCAUAAAGCAAUUCUUCUUCUUCUUCAAAUCAAUGUUCACUUGAUCGAUUGCAUAUUGUGACAAAUGAUUGAAUUUAUUGAGAUACUGAUUAACAGUAUCCCCUCCUUGUUUCAGCUUCAUAAAUUCUUCUUGCUUCAUGUGAAGAACACCUUCUGGUAUGUAAUGUUCGCGGAAGGCCACCUUGAAUUCUUCCCAAGUUAUCUGAUGAUUGGCCGGUUGAACGGCCACAAAAUUACCCCACCAAGUGUUGGCAGGUCCGCGCAGUUGCUGGGCUGCGAAUAAAGGCUUCUGGGUUUCUGAACAUCGCAGCAGUCCGAACUUUUGCUCGAUCACACGAAGCCAUUCAUCUGCUUCUAACGGGUCUUCGGCUUUGACAAACAGCGGGAGUCGCGUCUCUGAGAAGUCCAUGUAAGAGGUUUCACGGGGGCCCUGUUGAUAACCCCGCCCGCCUUGUUGUGGAAACUGUUGACUCGCCAUCUCUCUCAGAAAACGGGUAUUAUCCGCGGUUGCAUUUACCAAGGCGGCAAUCGCCUCGGCCAGUGUGGGAGGAAUAUGAGGUGGAUUUGGGGUAGACUCCCUCCCACUGGAAGUUCCAGCUGUAUCCUGUGAUCGGGUCUUGGACGACAUCUGUGGCAACAACAUUGGGAAACAAUAUGAUAUGCCAAAGAAAAACCAUCCAUUUUACAUUACCAAAAGUAUUGUACAGACUCGGAUUUUUACAACAGGAUACAUUACCUAUUAUACAAAUACACUACCUAUUAUACAAUAGUACAACCUGUUAUACAAUACACUACUUCUAUUUCAACUACUACACCACUAUUCCUGCUUUCCGUUGCUUUUGGCAGCCUCGUCGUCGGGUGUGGGAGACCAUUCGUCGACCAACCUCAUAGAUGGAGGUGGCUGAAAAAGGUCUAACUCACCACCAAGCGUGUGUCCCGCAACAUGCGAGGGUCCGGCUUCCGACUCAACACGAUUCGUAGGCUCACUGGGAUGCAGUUGCGAAUAUAAUACAUGAACCUCUUCAUGUAAGGUAUUCACAAAUGCAUCCCAGUGAGCCUACGAAUCCUGUUGAGUCGGAAGCCGGACCCUCGCAUGUUGCGGGACACGUGUUUGGUGGUGAGUUAGACCUUUUUCAGCCCCCUCCUAUGAGGCUGGUCGACGAAUGGUCUCCCACACCCGACAACGAGGCUGCCAAAAGCAACGAAAAGCAGGAAUAGUGGUGUAGUAGUUGAAAUAGAAGUAGUGUAUUGUAUAACAGGUUGUACUAUUGUAUAAUAGGUAGUGUAUUUGUAUAAUAGGUAAUGUAUCCUGUUGUAAAAAUCCGAGUCUGUACAAUACUUUUGGUAAUGUAAAAUGGAUGGUUUUUCUUUGGCAUAUCAUAUUGUUUCUCAAUGUUGUUGCCACAGAUGUCGUCCAAGACCCGAUCACAGGAUACAGCUGGAACUUCCAGUGGGAGGGAGUCUACCCCAAAUCCACCUCCUAUUUCUCCCACACUGGCCGAGGCGAUUGCCGCCUUGGUAAAUGCAACCGCGGAUAAUACCCGUUUUCUGAGAGAGAUGGCGGGUCAACAGUUUCCACAACAAGGCGGGCGGGGUUAUCAACAGGGCCCCCGUGAAACCUCUUACAUGGACUUCUCAGAGACGCGACCCCCGCUGUUUGUCAAAGCCGAAGACCCGUUAGAAGCAGAUGAAUGGAUUCGUGUGAUCGAGCAAAAGUUCGGACUGCUGCGAUGUUCAGAAACCCAGAAGCCUUUAUUCGCAGUCCAGCAACUGCGCGGACCUGUCAGCACUUGGUGGGGUAAUUUUGUGGUCGUUCAACCGGCCAAUCAUCAGAUAACUUGGGAAGAAUUCAAGGUGGCCUUCCACGAACAUUACAUACCAGAAGGUGUUUCUUCACAUGAAGCAAGAAGAAUUUAUGAAGCUGAAACAAGUAGGGGAUACUGUUAAUCAGUAUCUCAAUAAGUUCAAUCAUUUGUCACAAUAUGCAAUCGAUCAAGUGAACACUGAUUUGAAGAAGAAGAAUUGCUUUAUGAGAGGGUUAAAUGAUCGACUGCAAAGAAAGAUGGCAACCUGCAUAGAUCUUACUUAUGGAAGAGCUGUCAGUACAGCACUGACAAUAGAAGCAAAGUAUGCAGGCGCUAGAAAAUCCAAGGGUUUUGGAGGUGACAGACCUAGUCAGGGCCCGGUGAAGAAGGAAUGGGUUGUCAUCUGGCCUUCCAACCAGAAUCGUUCUUUCUCUCGUCCACCCUCCUUCCCUUUUAAGCAGCCAGUCUUUAUUCGUCCCAAUAAUGCCCAUACUGCAUCAAGUCAGCCGGGUGCCCCAGGCACUCGAUUCCCUGCUUUGCCUAGCUCAUCAACUGGAUGUUUCAAUUGUGGAAGUCUGGGCAUUUUAUCAAAGAUUGCCCUUAUCCAAAGCAGAACCAGUCAAAUAAUCAGCAAUGAUCUGGGAAUUCAUCUCAAGCCAAGGGAAAUACUGUGGGCAAAAAUACUAAGAAGACGGGACGCAUAUAUUAUACGCAAGUGGCCACUACGCCAGACGGUGAGCCAGUAAUGAUGAGUACGUUUCUUGUGGCCAAUCAUCCCGCAGUUAUUCUCUUUGAUUCUGGUGCUUCGCAUACAUUCAUCAGCAAGAAAUUUGUGGAGCAACAUUGCAUCUCAUGCCAUGAAUCAAAAGAGGGGUUUAAAAUUCACUCACCAGGGGGACAAAUAUUUACUAGAGAAGUGGCCUAUCAAGUGACUGUAACUUUGGCCGGACGGGACUUUCCUACUAAUAUGAUCGUUCUGAAAGGCCAAGAUAUAGAUGUUAUUUUGGGCAUGAAUUGGUUAGCCAGACACAAAGCAACUCUCAACACUGAUCAGAGAAUUAUCAGGUUGAGUCAUAACCAAAGAAAGAACGCAAGGAAUGAAGUGCGGGAGGAAAGGAUCCUCCAUUAGGACUUUAUAAAAACUAUCGGGAGGAGUUUUUGCCUCCCUUGGUAUUGUAAUAAUACUAUUCAGCACUCGUUUCAUAUCUGUAAUAAGUAACUUGAUCUUACUUUCUAAAUAAAUGUAAGUUUAUGUAAUCGUUUCCGCAUUUCUAUAUCUCUGAUGUUCUGUAAUGUC